rnacentral:lncRNA from 1 species
AAAAAAGUCCCACCGCCGGCGGCGGCGGCGGCGGACGAGCCCGGCAGCGGCAGGGCAGGCCACAGGCGAUAUGGUCGGCGAGGCUCACAUCCCGUGACUACAUGGAGGCCGUGGGCUAUGCUCUUGAGGUAAAUCAAAGCUGCCUGGCUGAUUGAUUCUCCAGUUUCGUUUAGAGAUUGGCACCGUGGUUGCAAAAUUUUGGUUGAGAUUUAUGGCAUUUCUCGAUGCGGUAUUGCAGUGUCAUUGGUUGCGGAUUAGCGGACCGCUCGUGGUAAGUAGCAGAUAAAUUAUUCGAAAUAUAGUCACAAAUUAGUACAAGAACAUUUCUGUAAGAAUAAUACAAGAACAAUUUGGAUGUAUUCAUUGUAUGUAUAAUCGUGACAUGAAUAAUUUACCAGCAGAUCUCAGUUCAGUCAGCCCCUUCCAAUUGUAAUUUUUGGAGCAGACUGUAUUAACUGAACUUUUAACUACCAGAUCACGAGCUGGUCAGUCGGAGGAUUCAUCUUGCUGGGGUUGGAGCCACUGAAUCAAGCCUUGCUUUUUGCCGGGUCGGCCGAAGGAACGGCGACCAAAUUUCAUUAAGGAAUUGGGGGAAGAACAAAAAAAAAUUACAGAUAGA